rnacentral:rRNA from 1 species
UACAGAGGGGGCAAGCGUUGUUCGGAAUUACUGGGCGUAAAGGGCGCGUAGGCGGCCUUCUAAGUCGAACGUGAAAUCCCUGGGCUCAACCCAGGAACUGCGUCCGAUACUGGAAGGCUUGAAUCCGGGAGAGGGAUGCGGAAUUCCAGGUGUAGCGGUGAAAUGCGUAGAUAUCUGGAGGAACACCGGUGGCGAAGGCGGCAUCCUGGACCGGUAUUGACACUGAGGCGCGAAAGCCAGGGGAGCAAACAGG